UAUUUACUUCCUUAAUAUCACUAUCAGAGAUAGUCAGUAUCGUUGAGGUACCUGAUUAACGCCCAUCUCUCCCAGCAGAACAGCAUUCCAAGAGGGCGAACUCAUCAAAUUCUUCACUACUGAAUCCCCAGCUGCUAGCGGGUCUGGCACAAUGUGGACACUGAGAAAAUAUUAACAAAUAAAUGAAUGAAAGAACUUGGGCAAGGUCAUGUAUUUAAAUAACUCAACUGACUGACGUUGACUCCAAGCAGGGCUUGCCCCCUCUAACAUGCUGGGAAUCUGUGACAGGCUAAUUCCUUGGUUUUAGAAGCCUCAAGUUCCUCCUCCUGCGCUGUGUAAGAUGGAAGUCCUGGCAUGUGAAACCUGACUUUCAAACUGUAUUUUAUUAUUUUUAAAUAUUUUAUUUAUUUAUUUGAGAGGGAGAGAGAGAGAGAGAGCGCACGCACACGGGAGCAGUGAGGAGGCGCGCAGGGAGAGGGAGAAGCAGGCUUCCCGCUGAGCUGGGAGCCCGACGCGGGGCUCAAUUCCAGGACCCUGAGAUCAUGAUCUGAGCUGAGAGCAGACCCUCAACCGACUGAGCCACUCCAGCGCCCCCCAAACUGCAUUUUAAAUGGAAAUAGACAACGGCAAAGUCAAGGAUUCUUUGUGCAAGGAAGUGGACACAUCCCUUUUCCAUUGUACUGUGUUGGCCACCUCUUAUUCAUUCAUUCAUUUAUUAUUAUUAUUAUUAUAUUAUUAUUAUUAUUUUAGGUGAUUGCCAGUGAACUGCUUUAUGGAAUGGCAACAUGGCACCCUCUGUCCACGGCAUUUGGUAGCUAUGGCUCAUGAAGCAUGGUCACCUUUUGUCUAGAAGGCUACCUUACAUCUCAGUUUGGAGGGAGAGGAGUUUGAACGAAGAGGAGAUUCAGUGCCUUCAUGCCCGCACCCUUUCCUAUGGUGCAGGCCUCUCAGCUUUGCCCGCAUGUCUCCGACCGGUCCAUCUCUCUGUCCUCUGCGGGCUUCUCAUCCUCAUCCUCUCCCUGCCUCCCUUAGUGCUUCUCAGGGACCUGACAGUCACAUUCCUUGGAUAAUCCUCUUCACUCCACAGCAGGCCUUCCAGUUCAGACUUUGUUGGCACUUCUACCCAGGUAUCCCAAGGCACCUCUGCACAGGACGUCCAAGACUCCAUGGAAAUGUCCGCCUCAAGAAAGAAGCAGAGAGGCACAUCAGGGCUCUAAAUACAUUGAUUCUCAAACUUGGCCGACUUCAAAAUUCCCCACAUACAAAGUCUGGUCAUCUUCAAAAGAAGAUAUUUUGCCCCACCUCUUAUUUAUCUGAAGAAACAAGUACAGUGAAUUAUUCCAAGAACAGCUAGAGUUGCCAUGAGCCUGUAACAGAUGGAAGUCACACCCAGAGCAGAGCGAAGUG
rnacentral:lncRNA from 1 species